rnacentral:rRNA from 1 species
CCUACGGGAGGCAGCAGUGAGGAAUAUUGGUCAAUGGGCGUAAGCCUGAACCAGCCAAGUCGCGUGAGGGAUGAAGGCUCUAUGGAUCGUAAACCUCUUUUAUAAGGGAAUAAAGUGUGGGACGUGUCCUGUUUUGUAUGUACCUUAUGAAUAAGGAUCGGCUAACUCCGUGCCAGCAGCCGCGGUAAUACGGAGGAUCCGAGCGUUAUCCGGAUUUAUUGGGUUUAAAGGGUGCGUAGGCGGCCUUUUAAGUCAGCGGUGAAAGUCUGUGGCUCAACCAUAGAAUUGCCGUUGAAACUGGGAGGCUUGAGUAUGUUUGAGGCAGGCGGAAUGCGUGGUGUAGCGGUGAAAUGCUUAGAUAUCACGAAGAACCCCGAUUGCGAAGGCAGCCUGCCAAGCCGUGACUGACGCUGAUGCACGAAAGCGUGGGGAUCAAACAGGAUUAGAUACCCGAGUAGUC